GGAUAGCUCAGUUGGUUGCAGUGUGGUGUUAAUAAUGCCAAGGUCAUCGGUUCGAUGCCUGUAUGGGACA